rnacentral:lncRNA from 1 species
GGGGGGUCCCGGUGCCGGGGGUCCCGGUGCCGGUGCCCAGGCAGCGCGUCCCGCAGCGUGGCAGAGCCCCUACCUGAACGUCUUCAAGCACUUCCGCGUGGAGGAGUGGAAGCGCUCCGCCAAGGAGGGGGACGUCACCGCCUGCCUGGACAAGAGGCUGAAGGGGACGGUGUACCGCAUCCGGGGCUCCAUCCCCGCCUGCAACUACCUGCAGCUGCCCCGCACCGGCACGCAGUCGCUGGGGCUGCGGGGCCGCUACCUCUACCUGCUCUUCAGGCCCCUGCCCCGCAAGCACUUCGUGGUGCACCUGGAUGUGGCCACCCAGGAGAACCAGGUGGUGCGCAUCUCCUUCUCCAACCUCUUCAGGGAGUUCAAAUCCACAGCCACGUGGCUCCAGUUCCCCUUCGUAUGCGCAGCAGCCAAAGGCUCGCUGGACGAGAGCACAGCCAGAGCUUCCAGGCAAGAUCUGGUGGGGGCAGCCCCUGCCA